UUUACUGAGGCGAGCACACGCUUGGGGCACGGGAAGGUGGCAUGGCUCCUGGUGAGGCCUCCGCUGGAAAACUAAGUGCCAAAGGCCAGACACCUCCCUGCAGCCUGGCUCCUUCUGCUGGCCCCGCUAUGAAGAACGGCCUAGGAGAGGCUCAUGUUUUAUGGAUCCGUGGCCGGAGCAGCCAGUGUUUUGGACACCACCACUCUAGCUAGCAGCCUCAAGAGUGUCAUAAAGGAGGCAAUAACUUAUCAAGGACAAGCACUGCAAGCAAGCCACCAUGCUCCAUCCGAGGCUUGAAUUAGCAUCGAACAUAAAAACUGUGAUCAUCGUAGG
rnacentral:lncRNA from 1 species